UACGGAGGGUGCAAGCGUUAUCCGGAUUCACUGGGUUUAAAGGGAGCGUAGGUGGGUUGGUAAGUCAGUGGUGAAAUCCCCGAGCUUAACUUGGGAACUGCUAUUGAUACUAUUAGUCUUGAAUACUGUGGAGGUCAGCGGAAUAUGUCAUGUAGCGGUGAAAUGCUUAGAUAUGACAUAGAACACCAAUUGCGAAGGCAGCUGGCUACACAAAUAUUGACACUGAGGCUCGAAAGCGUGGGGAUCAAACAGG
rnacentral:rRNA from 1 species